rnacentral:tRNA from 1 species
GCCGACCAGGGCGGUGGAGUUGCCGGCGCCGCCGGUCUCCGCGGCGGUCGGAGUCCACAGCGCCCGGUCGUGCCGUUCGCCCUGGGCGGCG